UACGUAGGUGGCAAGCGUUGUCCGGAGUUAUUGGGCGUAAAGCGCGCGCAGGCGGUGCGGUCAGUCUAGGGUGAAAGCGCCCGGACUUAACUGGGCGAGUGCCAUAGAGACGGCCGCGCUGGAGGGGAGCAGAGGCGAGUGGAAUUCCGGGUGUAGUGGUGAAAUGCGUAGAGAUCCGGAGGAACACCAGUGGCGAAGGCGGCUCGCUGGGCUCGAACCUGACGCUGAGGCGCGAAAGCGUGGGAGCGA
rnacentral:rRNA from 1 species